AAUUGAUUUUAUGCUUGCAUAAAUGAUUUUUGGAUUCGGAGCGAGUGGCGAACUGGUGAGUAACACGUGGGUAACCUGCCCCGAAGCGGGGGAUAACAUUUGGAAACAAGUGCUAAUACCGCAUAAUUAGUUGGAACCGCAUGGUUCCAACUUGAAAGAUGGCUCUGCUAUCACUUUGGGAUGGACCCGCGCCGUAUUAGUUAGUUGGUGAGAUAAAAGCCCACCAAGACGAUGAUACGUAGCCGACCUGAGAGGGUAAUCGGCCACAUUGGGACUGAGACACGGCCCAGACUCCUACGGGAGGCAGCAGUAGGGAAUCUUCCACAAUGGACGAAAGUCUGAUGGAGCAACGCCGCGUGAGUGAUGAAGGUUUUCGGAUCGUAAAACUCUGUUGUUAAAGAAGAACAAGUGUUAGAGUAACUGUUAACACUUUGACGGUAUUUAACCAGAAAGCCACGGCUAACUACGUGCCAGCAGCCGCGGUAAUACGUAGGUGGCAAGCGUUGUCCGGAUUUAUUGGGCGUAAAGCGAGCGCAGGCGGUUUUGUAAGUCUGCUGUGAAAGCCCUCAGCUCAACUGAGGAAGUGCAGUGGAAACUACAAAACUUGAGUACAGAAGAGGAAAGUGGAACUCCAUGUGUAGCGGUGAAAUGCGUAGAUAUAUGGAAGAACACCAGUGGCGAAGGCGGCUUUCUGGUCUGUUACUGACGCUGAGGCUCGAAAGCAUGGGUAGCGAACAGGAUUAGAUACCCUGGUAGUCCAUGCCGUAAACGAUGAAUACUAGGUGUUGGAGGGUUUCCGCCCCUUCAGUGCCGCAGCUAACGCAUUAAGUAUUCGCCCUGGGGAGUACGACCGCAAGGUUGAAACUCAAAGGAAUUGACGGGGGCCCGCACAAGUGGUGGAGCAUGUGGUUUAAUUCGAUGCUACGCGAAGAACCUUACCAGCUCUUGACAUCUUCUGCCAACCCAAGAGAUUGGGCGUUCCCUUCGGGGACAGAAUGACAGGUGGUGCAUGGUUGUCGUCAGCUCGUGUCGUGAGAUGUUGGGUUAAGUCCCGCAACGAGCGCAACCCUUAUUAUUAGUUGCCAGCAUUUAGUUGGGCACUCUAGUGAGACUGCCGGUGAUAAACCGGAGGAAGGUGGGGACGACGUCAAAUCAUCAUGCCCCUUAUGAGCUGGGCUACACACGUGCUACAAUGGAUGGUACAACGAGUCGCGAAACCGCGAGGUCAAGCUAAUCUCUUAAAGCCAUUCUCAGUUCGGAUUGCAGGCUGCAACUCGCCUGCAUGAAGUUGGAAUCACUAGUAAUCGUGGAUCAGCAUGCCACGGUGAAUACGUUCCCGGGCCUUGUACACACCGCCCGUCACACCAUGAGAGUUUGUAACACCCAAAGAC
rnacentral:rRNA from 1 species